UACGGAAGGGGCAAGCGUCGUUCGGAAUCAUUGGGCGUAAAGGGCGCGUAGGUGGCUCUGUAUGUCUGCCGUGAAAGCAUACAGCUCAACUGUAUUGUGUCGGUAGAAACUGCAGGACUUGAGGCUGGGAGGGGCUGGUGGAAUUCCCUGUGUAGCGGUGAAAUGCGUAGAGAUGGGGGAGAACACUCGUGGCGAAGGCGGCCAGCUAGACCAGUUCUGACACUGAGGCGCGACAGCGUGGGGAGCAAACAGG
rnacentral:rRNA from 1 species